UACGAAGGGGGCUAGCGUUGCUCGGAAUGACUGGGCGUAAAGGGCGCGUAGGCGGAUGGCACAGUCAGAUGUGAAAUUCCCGGGCUUAACCUGGGGGCUGCAUUUGAUACGUGUUGUCUUGAGUUCGGAAGAGGGUCGUGGAAUUCCCAGUGUAGAGGUGAAAUUCGUAGAUAUUGGGAAGAACACCGGUGGCGAAGGCGGCUCACUGGCUCGUAUCUGACGCUCAGGCGCGAUAGCGUGGGGAUCAAACAGG
rnacentral:rRNA from 1 species